rnacentral:lncRNA from 1 species
UUAGAUAGAUUAUUUUUUUUAUUUUAUAUGGAACUAUCGGGUGCCAGAAUAAUUACAGUAUGAUUAUCUGCGACGUUCUUAAAAUUUAAAAUAAUUCUAUAUAUAAGGUAUAGUAAUGUAAAUUUUUUUUAAAAAACAAUUUAAGUACUACCCAUAUAGUUUCGCACUUUUUCAGUUUAAUAUCAUGUAGUUUAAAGUAUAUUAAUUUAGUAUCCUGCGGUUUUGUUUUUCUUUUUUUAUUAUCCAUUCCACUAAUUAUUUUCCAUUAAAUUACUGACAAAAUUAAAACGAAAAGAUACUAGAGCGUGAAUAUUCGAUAAACUAAGAUGGGUAUCUAAGGUUUUAUAUAUAAUUUAACAAAAUAUAAAUUGAGGAGCUAACAAAAAGAGAAAAAUAAAACCACAGGGUGCUAACUUAAUACAUUUUAAACCAUAGGAUACUAAAGUGAAAAAAUGUGAAACCACACAGGUAGUAUUUGAAAUUUGCCCAUUUUUUAAGCCAACUAUAGUAUUUUGAGCGGUUAAGAGGGUUAAACGAGUCAAAAGAUAACGAGUAGUUUUAGGAUAAGUGACCUUUCUAAAGAGCGGCACAUUACAGAUGGUAUUGAAGCCAAUCACUAGUCAGAAGUAUGAGAUAAGUCUUAACUGAGUCGAGGUUACACAGCUUGCAAGAGCACGGCUCUCUGGCUGACAACAGUAUUGGGAGGACUUUGACUCUCCACAAGAUUGGUUAAGACUAGCAAAAUAAAUCUCACAUCGUCCGAUACUUGUUAAUGUCGCUUUAUAAAGAAGUUAAGCUUUAAAGGAGAAGGAAAUAUGACAACUCUAAAAUUUAGAAUAGUCAUAGUAAAGUUAAACCUCUUAGCUUAGCUAUAAUAUUGGACUGGCUAGACUCAAGGGGUUAAAGAGAGUUAU